rnacentral:misc_RNA from 1 species
GAUGAAGACGUAGCGAAAUGCGAUACGUAAUGUGAAUUGCAGAUUUCAGUGAAUCAUCGAAUCUUUGAACGCACAUUGCGCCCGCUAGUAUUCUGGCGGGCAUGCCUGUUCGAGCGUCAUUUCAACCAUCAAGCCCUAGGCUUGCGUUGGAGCCCUGCGGCUGCCGCAGGCUCCCAAAUCCAGUGGCGGGCUCGUCGUCGUACCGAGUGCAGUAAACAUCCUCGCUCAGGGAACGUGACGGGUUCUUGCCGUGAAACCCCCCACAUAUCAAGGUUGACCUCGGAUCAGGUAGGAAUACCCGCUGAACUUAAGCAUAUCAAUAAGCGGAGGA